rnacentral:rRNA from 1 species
UACGUAGGGCGCAAGCGUUAUCCGGAAUUAUUGGGCGUAAAGAGCUCGUAGGCGGUUUGUCGCGUCUGCCGUGAAAGUCCGGGGCUCAACUCCGGAUCUGCGGUGGGUACGGGCAGACUAGAGUGAUGUAGGGGAGACUGGAAUUCCUGGUGUAGCGGUGAAAUGCGCAGAUAUCAGGAAGAACACCCGUGGCUAAGGCGGCUCUCUAGUACGUGACUGACGCUGAGACGCGAAAGCGUGGGGAGCGAACGGG